rnacentral:misc_RNA from 1 species
GAUGGAGAACGCAGCGAAAUGCGAUACGUAAUGUGAAUUGCAGAAUUCAGUGAAUCAUCGAAUCUUUGAACGCAUAUUGCGCUCUCUGGUAUUCCGGAGAGCAUGCUUGUUUGAGUAUCAGUAAACACCUCAACUUCCAUAUCUUUUUUGAAAUGGGAGUUGGACUUGAGUGAUCCCAACGCUUUUCCUCACCGAAAAGUGGCGGGUUACUUGAAAUGCAGGUGCAGCUGGACUUUUCUCUGAGCUAUAAGCAUAUCUAUUUAGUCUGCCUAAAAAACAGAUUAUUACCUUUGCUGCAGCUAACAUAAAGGAGAUUAGUUCUUGUGCUGACUGAUGCAGGAUUCACAAAGACAGGCUUCGGCCGACUUUGUAAACUCGAUCUCAAAUCAAGUAAGACUACCCGCUGAACUUAAGCAUAUCAAUAAGCGGAGGA